ACGCUCGACACCUACGGGGGGCAGCAGUGGGGAAUAUUGCACAAUGGGGGAAACCCUGAUGCAGCGACGCCGCGUGAGCGAAGAAGUAUUUCGGUAUGUAAAGCUCUAUCAGCAGGGAAGAAACUGACGGUACCUGACUAAGAAGCACCGGCUAAAUACGUGCCAGUAGCCGCGGUAAUCUGAGCGGGCUGGCAAGGC
rnacentral:rRNA from 1 species